rnacentral:snRNA from 1 species
CUUUCCUGCUCUGGUAAGAUAUACUAAAAUUGGAAUGAUGUAGCAUGACCCCUGCUCAAGGAUGACAUGCAAGUUUGUGGAUUUGCUUACACCUCC